AUGAACGCUGGCGGCGUGCUUAACACAUGCAAGUCGAACGAAGCACUUUAUUUGAUUUCCUUCGGGACUGAUUAUUUUGUGACUGAGUGGCGGACGGGUGAGUAACGCGUGGGUAACCUGCCUUGUACAGGGGGAUAACAGUUGGAAACGGCUGCUAAUACCGCAUAAGCGCACAGCAUCGCAUGAUGCAGUGUGAAAAACUCCGGUGGUAUAAGAUGGACCCGCGUUGGAUUAGCUAGUUGGUGAGGUAACGGCCCACCAAGGCGACGAUCCAUAGCCGACCUGAGAGGGUGACCGGCCACAUUGGGACUGAGACACGGCCCAAACUCCUACGGGAGGCAGCAGUGGGGAAUAUUGCACAAUGGGCGAAAGCCUGAUGCAGCGACGCCGCGUGAGCGAAGAAGUAUUUCGGUAUGUAAAGCUCUAUCAGCAGGGAAGAUAAUGACGGUACCUGACUAAGAAGCACCGGCUAAAUACGUGCCAGCAGCCGCGGUAAUACGUAUGGUGCAAGCGUUAUCCGGAUUUACUGGGUGUAAAGGGAGCGCAGGCGGUGCGGCAAGUCUGAUGUGAAAGCCCGGGGCUCAACCCCGGUACUGCAUUGGAAACUGUCGUACUAGAGUGUCGGAGGGGUAAGCGGAAUUCCUAGUGUAGCGGUGAAAUGCGUAGAUAUUAGGAGGAACACCAGUGGCGAAGGCGGCUUACUGGACGAUAACUGACGCUGAGGCUCGAAAGCGUGGGGAGCAAACAGGAGUAGAUACCCUGGUAGUCCACGCCGUAAACGAUGAAUACUAGGUGUUGGGAAGCAUCGCUUCUCGGUGCCGUCGCAAACGCAGUAAGUAUUCCACCUGGGGAGUACGUUCGCAAGAAUGAAACUCAAAGGAAUUGACGGGGGCCCGCACAAGCGGAGGAACAUGUGGUUUAAUUCGAUGAUACGCGAGGAACCUUACCCGGGCUUAAAUUGCAGAUGAAUUACGGUGAAAGCCGUAAGCCGCAAGGCAUCUGUGAAGGUGCUGCAUGGUUGUCGUCAGCUCGUGUCGUGAGAUGUUGGGUUAAGUCCCGCAACGAGCGCAACCCUUAUCUUUAGUAGCCAGCGGUCAGGCCGGGCACUCUAGAGAGACUGCCAGGGAUAACCUGGAGGAAGGCGGGGAUGACGUCAAAUCAUCAUGCCCCUUAUGACUUGGGCUACACACGUGCUACAAUGGCGUAAACAAAGGGAAGCAAAGCUGUGAAGCCGAGCAAAUCUCAAAAAUAACGUCUCAGUUCGGACUGUAGUCUGCAACCCGACUACACGAAGCUGGAAUCGCUAGUAAUCGCAGAUCAGAAUGCUGCGGUGAAUACGUUCCCGGGUCUUGUACACACCGCCCGUCACACCAUGGGAGUUGGGAAUGCCCGAAGCCAGUGACCUAACCGAAAGGAAGGAGCUGUCGAAGGCAGGCUCGAUAACUGGGGUG
rnacentral:rRNA from 1 species